rnacentral:rRNA from 1 species
UCAGUUGAUUAUUAGUAAUCUGCCUUCGCAAUUGGUAUUCUAUGUAAUAUCUAUGCAUUUCACCGCUACACUACAUAUUCUAACUACUUCAUAAUAACUCAAGAUAACCAGUAUCAAAGGCAAUUUUACGG